rnacentral:lncRNA from 1 species
AUUACAACUAGUUACCAUUCUCUGUAUUUAACCCAGCGAACUACAUAUCGGAAACUAAAAUUUAUUGGAGAGAUUCUCAGAACCAUACUAGAAACAUUACCGAGGUCUCAUCUAGUUUUCUCUACUGCCUUCCAAGGUUUCUACUGUACAAUUUCUCAUUGAAAACUGCCUCAGCAUUUUUUAAGAAGACAUCACUUCCCCCUUGGGGAAGAAAGAACUCAAUGACUUGAAGAAACUGAUGCUUCAGGUACCUUGAAAAAUUCAGCUGGUUUUGAUGAGAAACAGUCAAUGGGGCUGUUAGGGGUCCUGGCGGAUGCUUAGGCAGUGGCUGUCCUGGAUUCCAGGGAAUGCCCCAAACCCAGUGAUGCAGGACCCAGGACUCCAUCUGCUCAUUCUUCAUAAGGUUGGCUCACAGGUCAUCUGCUGAGAAGGUCAUCUUCUCCGUCUUCACUGGGCUCACUGAAUGAGGACAUUCCAAGAUCCCAGCUCAUCUCAUUUGAGCUUUCCUUUUCCUAAUCCCAUGCAUCUGUGUUUGAGAAAAUCUUCCCAAGUGAUAGAUCUUCUAUUUUC